GAUGAACGCUGGCGGCGUGCCUAAUACAUGCAAGUCGAGCGAACAGACGAGGAGCUUGCUCCUCUGACGUUAGCGGCGGACGGGUGAGUAACACGUGGAUAACCUACCUAUAAGACUGGGAUAACUUCGGGAAACCGGGGCUAAUACCGGAUAAUAUAUUGAACCGCAUGGUUCAAUAGUGAAAGACGGUUUUGCUGUCACUUAUAGAUGGAUCCGCGCCGCAUUAGCUAGUUGGUAAGGUAACGGCUUACCAAGGCAACGAUGCGUAGCCGACCUGAGAGGGUGAUCGGCCACACUGGAACUGAGACACGGUCCAGACUCCUACGGGAGGCAGCAGUAGGGAAUCUUCCGCAAUGGACGAAAGCUUGACGGAGCAACGCCGCGUGAGUGAUGAAGGUCUUCGGAUCGUAAAACUCUGUUAUUAGGGAAGAACAAAUGUGUAAGUAACUAUGCACGUCUUGACGGUACCUAAUCAGAAAGCCACGGCUAACUACGUG
rnacentral:rRNA from 1 species